rnacentral:lncRNA from 1 species
GUAUCCGCAACUCGGUCAAUCUGAACUACUGACUCAACUCAGUCACCCAACAGCCAAAUAAACUUUAAUUAUAUCAUAUAUGUAUCAAAAAAUGAGGUGGUAAGUAAGAAAAACACUGAAUCUCAUUCGAUUUAGGGAGAGAAAAUUAGAGCUUCGUUCGUGAGAGAUCGUCGACACGGUGGAAUCGCUGUGUCGACGAUUUUCAGGCUGAGAGAGAGAGGGAGACAGAGAGAGAGAAAGAGAGAGUCCAGCGUGGAUUUGGAGGGGUUGAGACACAGAUGCAGGAAAAAUAUAUGUGUGACCUAGUUUUAUCCACAAAACUAUCAAAAGCCAAGAAAAUUUACAUAAACUAACAUACAUCAAUAAAAAUUAUAAAGAUUUAACAGCAUAAACUUGAUUAAAAUGAUUACCGUAUCCGCAACUCGGUCAAUCUGAACUACUGACUCAACUCAGUCACCCAACAGCCAAAUAAACUUUAAUUAUAUCAUAUAUGUAUCAAAAAAUGAGGUGGUAAGUAAGAAAAACACUGAAUCUCAUUCGAUUUAGGGAGAGAAAAUUAGAGCUUCGUUCGUGAGAGAUCGUCGACACGGUGGAAUCGCUGUGUCGACGAUUUUCAGGCUGAGAGAGAGAGGGAGACAGAGAG